ensembl:snRNA U6 U6 spliceosomal RNA
GUGCCGGUCUUGGCAGCGCAUGCGCUCAAGUUGGAACAGGACAGAGAAGAUGAGUGCGGCCCCUGCGCAAGGGUGGCGCGCAAACUCGUGAAGCGUUCAUUGUUAAA